rnacentral:rRNA from 1 species
GACGAACGCUGGCGGCGUGCUUAACACAUGCAAGUCGAACGGUAAGGCCCCUUCGGGGGUACACGAGUGGCGAACGGGUGAGUAACACGUGAGCAACCUGCCCUUGACUCUGGAAUAACAGUUGGAAACAGCUGCUAAUACUGGAUAUUCAUCGUCUCCUUCCUGGGGGGUGGUGGAAAGCUCCGGCAGUCAGGGAUGGGCUCGCGGCCUAUCAGCUUGUUGGUGAGGUAAUGGCUCACCAAGGCUUCGACGGGUAGCCGGCCUGAGAGGGCGACCGGCCACACUGGGACUGAGAUACGGCCCAGACUCCUACGGGAGGCAGCAGUGGGGAAUAUUGCACAAUGGGCGCAAGCCUGAUGCAGCAACGCCGCGUGCGGGAUGACGGCCUUCGGGUUGUAAACCGCUUUCAGUAGGGACGAAGGGUGACUGACGGUACCUACAGAAGAAGGACCGGCUAACUACGUG